AUUGAACGCUGGCGGCAGGCCUAACACAUGCAAGUCGAGCGAGCGGCAGACGGGUGAGUAAUGUAUGGGGACUGCCCGAUAGAGGGGGAUAACUGCUGGAAACGGUAGCUAAUCCCGCAUACUGUAGGAUAACCCAAAUGGGAUUGUGUAGUAGGUGAGUGAAGGGCUCACCUAGGCGACGAUCCCUAGCUGGGAGGUGAGGAUGAUCAGCCACCCGGGGACUGAGACACGGCCCAGACUCCUACGGAGGCAGCAGUGGGGAAUAUUGCACAAUGGGCGCAAGUCUGAUGCAGCCAUGCCGCGUGUAUGAAGAAGGCCCUAGGGUUGGAAAGUACGUUCAGUCGGGAGGCGUUACCGACAGAAGAAGCACCGGCUAACGCCGUGCCAGCCGCCGCGGUAAUAC
rnacentral:rRNA from 1 species